rnacentral:lncRNA from 1 species
AGAUCCGCUGCUGCAUCACGGCUCGGCAGGGCUCUCUGGGUUCUCAGUGCCCUCCUAGGUCUGCAAUGCAGUGCGGGAGAGGAGGAAUAUGGGCUUGUGGGGGCAGGGGCAGCGCCCGGACUCCUCCCGGGGCAGGACUCCCAGAAACGCAGGAAGCGAUGACGCUGCUCAGAUAAACCCUGGCGCUCUGCGCUGGCGUCCUGGUCAGGAGCUCCUCUGCCACGGACGCGCCUGCCGUUUCUGCCUUCGUUAUCUAUUUACUGACCUCUCAUCUCCCCAGAAGAUGUUCUCAGUUCUCAGCAGUCA